UGUAAAAUGCUGCAGCUCAGAGGGGAGAGUAGAAAUGAAGCUGAAAGCUAGCUGCUAAUGCCAGUAUGAAGGUGUUGGCCGCUCCACACUAUUCUAUGCUACUCUGUCAUGUCAAACACCGGGUGGAGAUGAACCCAGCUGAGGUUUGAGGUGGAGGUCAGUGUGGUGCUCAUGUGAAUGUUGAGAGGAACAGUCUUAUUUACCUCGAUUGUAGAGUGCAUUGUGUUUCCUGAGAACCCUGGAACCUUCAGGUCUUUGAGGAGGAUCAGGGUCGGGCAGAAGCCUUUCCCACCUGACCUGCAUCGCUGAUUGGCUGCCUCAAGUGUUUCCACAUUCUCAAUGAACACCUGAGUCAGCUAAGCAGCAGCUCCAGAUGGCAGGAUGGUGAAUGUGGAGGAGCAGGCUUGAUAUCCUUUCACACUCUGGAUCUGAAGCACCUUUACCUACAUUUGAAGGCGGAGCAACAGGCUUGGCCAGGCCCGAUCCCAUGCUGACUCAAGCACAGUAACUCAACAAAGGUGUCACCCUGCUGGGACGCCAUCAAACGGCCGUCUGAGCUUCAACUUCAUCUGCUAACAGAAAGAAUGCACACAAACGUGGGAAAAAGUCACACUGGAGCAUAUCUGCAUGUGUCAAAGCAUCGAGACCAAACUCAGCUUGAAGUGGAUCAACUCUCAGAAUCUGAGAUGGAAAAACACGUUUUGACCAUAAAAAUGUCCCUUUAGCUCAGAGUGGAUUUAUAGGACAGCAGAAUUAGG